rnacentral:rRNA from 1 species
GACAGAGGGUGCAAACGUUGUUCGGAAUUACUGGGCGUAAAGCGCGUGUAGGCUGCUCGAACAGUCGGGUGUGAAAGCCCUGGGCUCAACCCAGGAAGUGCAUUCGAUACUGCCGAGCUUGAGUCCUGGAGAGGAAGGCGGAAUUCCCGGUGUAGUGGUGAAAUGCGUAGAGAUCGGGAAGAACAUCGGUGGCGAAAGCGCUCUGCUGGACUGCAACUGACACUCAGGGACGAAAGCUAGGGGGAGCGAAUGGG